GGCAACAACACAAGUUAGAGGUCCUUGAUUAGUGAAUCAAACUCCAACAACUUGCCAUGCCAAAAAGAAGAUGAGAAAUGAUCUUGUAUUGAUUUAGGUCCUUUGCAUGAUUUAGGAAGCAAUCUAUCCUUAAUGCAAAGUCAUUCAUUUGAUCCAUAAUCAAGAUGAAUUAGAUUUGAAUCAAGGAAGAUUAAACCUCCAUGUAUCAAUGCUAACCACCAAUCUUUAACUCAUUGAUCAAAAUGAAAAAAGAAGAAGAAGAAGAAGAAGAAGAAGA
rnacentral:lncRNA from 1 species